UACGUAGGGUGCGAGCGUUGUCCGGAAUUAUUGGGCGUAAAGAGCUUGUAGGCGGUCUGUCGCGUCUGCUGUGAAAAUCCGGGGCUCAACCCCGGACUUGCAGUGGGUACGGGCAGACUGGAGUGUGGUAGGGGAGACUGGAAUUCCUGGUGUAGCGGUGAAAUGCGCAGAUAUCAGGAGGAACACCGGUGGCGAAGGCGGGUCUCUGGGCCGAUACUGACGCUGAGGAGCGAAAGCGUGGGGAGCGAACAGG
rnacentral:rRNA from 1 species